CCCUUAGAUGUUCUGGGCCGCACGCGCGCUACACUGUUCGACGCAGCGAGUCUUAGCCUUGACCGAAAGGUUUGGGUAAUCUUCAGCAAAGUCGAACGUGAUGGGGACCGAUCAUUGCAAUUAUUGAUCGUGAACGAGGAAUUCCUAGUAAGUGCAAGUCAUUAGCUUGCGCUGAUUACGUCCCUGCCCUUUGUACACACCGCCCGUCGCUACUACCGAUUGAAUGGUUUAGUGAGAUCUCUGGAUUGACGCUGGCUAGGGGGCGACCCUUGGCCAGACUGCUCGAGAAACUGCUCAAACUUGAUCAUUUAGAGGAAGUAAAAGUCGUAACA
rnacentral:rRNA from 1 species